rnacentral:rRNA from 1 species
AGUGAACGCUGGCGGUAGGCCUAACACAUGCAAGUCGAACGGCAGCACAGUAAGAGCUUGCUCUUACGGGUGGCGAGUGGCGGACGGGUGAGGAAUACAUCGGAAUCUACUUUUUCGUGGGGGAUAACGUAGGGAAACUUACGCUAAUACAGCAUACGACCUACGGGUGAAAGCAGGGGAUCUUCGGACCUUGCGCGAUUGAAUGAGCCGAUGUCGGAUUAGCUAGUUGGCGGGGUAAAGGCCCACCAAGGCGACGAUCCGUAGCCGGUCUGAGAGGAUGAUCAGCCACACUGGAACUGAGACACGGUCCAGACUCCUGCGGGAGGCAGCAGUGGGGAAUAUUGGACAAUGGGCGCAAGCCUGAUCCAGCCAUACCGCGUGGGUGAAGAAGGCCUUCGGGUUGUAAAGCCCUUUUGUUGGGAAAGAAAAGCAGCAGGUUAAUACCCCGCUGUUCUGACGGUACCCAAAGAAUAAGCACCGGCUAACUUCGUG